UACAGAGGUGCGAGCGUUAUCGGAAUUACUGGGCGUAAAGCGUGCGUAGACGGUUAUUUAAGUCGGAUGUGAAAGCCCCGGGCUUAACCUGGGAAUGGCAUUUGGGACUGCAAGGCUUGAGGACUGGAGAGGAGACUGGGAAAUUCAUGGUGUAGCAGUGAAAUGCGUAGAGAGUCAUGAGGAAGACCAGUGGCGAAGGCGGGUCUCUGGACAGUUCCGAUGACACUGGAGGCACGAAGGCCCAGGGGAGCAAACGGG
rnacentral:rRNA from 1 species